GUUGUGCUUUAGUACUCCUGCAAUUGACUUUUCUUCCGUGUUUCUGUCUUAGCUUUUGAGCCCAUGUAAAUGGCUGACACGUGGCAGAGAGCUCCAUAGCUUAACUGGAUUUGCAGAUGCAUAAAGACCUAUCUUCCUUCUCCUGCUCUGAACCCACCUCCAGCUGACUCCCGCUGAUGUCCUGCAGCUCUCAGAACAUUGCAAGAUUCAUCUACUGCAUUCCAUGGACUCCAAACUGGAAGCCAGGAUCUUAUCAUUUGGUUGAAAUCCCAGUAUUGCACAACUAUUGAGCCU
rnacentral:lncRNA from 1 species